CAGUGUGACACACUGCUCAAUGUGACACACCUGCUUAAUGUGACACACCUCCUCCCAUGAACAGACACAGUAGCAACAGGUGAUGCAGAAGAGCAUCAGCAGGAAGGCAGAUGAGAAAAGAGCCAUGCAACCAUCAUUCCUCUGCUCCCCUCCUUCAGCACAGCAGUGCCCAGCUGUCCAGAUGGGAGAGAGGGAGCGAAGGAGGGAGAGAAGCUGCAUGGAAGAGCAGAGCCAGAAGUGGGAACACCGGCUCUUCUGAAAAGCUUCUCUUCAAAUUUAGCAAAAUAAUAAAAAUGCAUAAGUGAAUUCUUCUAUUUGCGUACUGCACUCUUUGUACAGCUCCUUCCUGCCCGAGCAUCUAUUGGCCUCAGCAUUCCCAGAUACCACAACACUGUCUCCUCAGCAGAACCACGUGCAGCACGUCCUGCUGCGAAGCACGAGCAGAGCACACGUGAGCCCAUGGCGCGGCACGCUGUCCCAAAGGGUGGAUGUGUUCCUGAGCCACAGGAAAUUCCUCCAGCACCUCCUGCCCACCCUGCAGUGCCCACGCACCUUCUAAGGGAAGAAGGGAUGAGUCAGAAAUCAUUCCAUUCAUUGCCCAAGAAAUUAAAUCUGUUGACUCACACAA